rnacentral:rRNA from 1 species
AUGACCAAGUAUGAUAUUCAUGACAUCCUUGACCUUCCAGUAGAUGGUGAGCCACUUGUGUGUGAUGCUGAAUCUGGCCGUGAUUUUAUCCUCUCUCACUUCAACUUGACCAGUAUUCCUCCCGUGUCCUUCUUUGCCAACAAGAUAAAAUCAACCGAAGUCGAGUUGCCUGAUGAAGAUGUCUUUAUCUGUUUCAUGAUUGUUGCUUUUUCAUCAUUCCUUUGUCCCAACUCUAGCCUCAGUCCUAGCCCAAAGUACCUUCACAUCUUUCGGGAUUGUCCUUCUAUGCGUAACUAUGAUCUGUCAAAAUUUGUUUAUGAGUGGAUGUUGAGUUGCAUAAAAAAGUUCAAGGAUUCCACUAAAGUUGCUUCCAAAAGAUCAGUGACGUUUGGCGGUUGUCACUACGCUUUUGCUGUUUGUUACCUUGACCAACUCAAUUUCGGUCUUCACUCUGUUUCUGAUGUAAAGCCUCGCAUCCUAGCCUGGAGAGGCAACAAAGUUAAGCAAUUUUCAGAGCUUGAUAGAAACAAUAGCCACUCUUUUGGUAAGAGGCCUCUAAAGCAGUUGUGUGCUUCAGUUCAUCCGCAGCAGUAUAUCGACAAAUUUUCAGCAAGCAAGGAUGGUGAUGUUCCCUUUUGCAAUGCCAAACUUUUCGAAAUGAAUGUCCAGAAAUCAUUUGGCGCUCGUUUUGGGUUAGAGGCUGCUCAAGUAGUUAUAGACCUUGUUAAAGAUAGGAACAAGGACAAUCCUAAGCUAUUUGUAGAAUGGUCAGAAUCACUUGUAAUUGAUAUUCUUGAUUGCAUAGCAAACUCACCAUUGAUUGCAAAAUCUAUUGCUACACCAAAAUUUUCUCCAAGCGAAUUUCAAUCUCUGAGCAACUUCUCUUUUGGCAAAAAGUCUAUUUCUAUUCAUUCUUUUAUUGCUGAAAGAAACUUUGAAAAUGUUGUCAAAAAGCCGUCUUCCCAAGUUCAGUCCCCAAUCCCCAAUUUGCACGAAGCUUCUAAUUUUGCUGCUGGUGUUAUUUCGGAUGGGGAUUUUGUCAAUCCAGUAGUAUUAUCUAGCUCAUCUCCAGCUCCUAAGGUGUGUGUUGAGAGUGUGGUGAAUGAAGCUAAUGCUGAAGGUGCAAUUCCAGUAGCUCCUCUAUCUUGCGCAUAA